rnacentral:rRNA from 1 species
AGAGUUUGAUCCUGUCUCAGGAUGAACGCUGGCGGCGUGCUUAAUACAUGCAAGUCGAACGGAUGUUGUGGCAAUACGAUGUUAGUGGCGAACGGGUGAGUAACGCGUUGGUGACCUGCCCCGAAGUGAGGGAUAACAGCUCGAAAGGGCUGCUAAUACCGCAUGAGAUCCACCUAGUUAGAGAGGGUGGAUGAAAGGAGAAAUCCGCUUUGGGAGGGGCCUGCGUCCCAUCAGCUAGUUGGUGAGGUAAAAGCUCACCAAGGCGACGACGGGUAGGGGGCCUGAGAGGGUGACCCCCCACACUGGCACUGAAACACGGGCCAGACACCUACGGGUGGCAGCAGUAGGGAAUAUUGCACAAUGGGCGAAAGCCUGAUGCAGCAACGCCGCGUGCGCGAUGAAGGCCUUCGGGUUGUAAAGCGCUUUUCGGGGAGACGAGGAAGGACGGUAUCUCCGGAAUAAGGAUCGGCUAACUACGUGCCAGCAGCCGCGGUAAAACGUAGGAUCCGAGCGUUAUCCGAAUUCACUGGGCGUAAAGCGCGUGUAGGCGGCACGGUAAGUUGGAUGUAAAAUCUCCCGGCUCAACUGGGAGAGGACGUUCAAUACUGUCGAGCUCGAGGGCGAUAGAGGGAGGUGGAAUUCCCGGUGUAGUGGUGUAAUGCGUAGAUAUCGGGAGGAACACCAGUGGCGAAAGCGGCCUCCUGGAUCGUACCUGACGCUCAGACGCGAAAGCUAGGGGAGCAAACGGGAUUAGAAACCCCGGUAGUCCUAGCUGUAAACGAUGUAGACUUGGUGUUGGUGGUGUAAAAACCAUCGGUGCCGAAGCAAACGCGAUAAGUCUACCGCCUGGGGACUACGGCCGCAAGGUUAAAACUCAAAGGAAUUGACGGGGGCCCGCACAAGCAGCGGAGCGUGUGUUUUAAUUCGAUAUUACGCGAAAAACCUUACCCGGGUUUGACAUGCAGGUGGUAGGGAAACGAAAGUGGACCGACCCUUCGGGGAGCCUACACAGGUGUUGCAUGGCUGUCGUCAGCUCGUGUCGUGAGAUGUCCGGUUAAGUCCGGUAACGAGCGCAACCCGCGCCGUAUGUUACAAGUGUCAUACGGGACUGCUGGUAUAAAGCCGGAGGAAGGUGCGGACGACGUCAAGUCAGCAUGGCCUUUAUAUCCGGGGCUACACACACGCUACAAUGGCCAGUACAAUGGGUAGCAAAGCCGCAAGGUGAGCCAAUCCCCAAAGCUGGUCUCAGUUCAGAUUGCAGGCUGCAACUCGCCUGCAUGAAGUCGGAGUUGCUAGUAACCGCGCGUCAGCAUUAGUGCGGUGAAUACGUUCCCGGGCCUUGUACACACCGCCCGUCACGUCAUGGGAGCUGGCAACACCUGAAGCCGGUAUCCUAACCGCAAGGAGGGAGCCGUCGAAGGUGGGGCUGGUGACUGGGACGAA